rnacentral:rRNA from 1 species
GACAGAGGGUGCAAACGUUGUUCGGAAUUACUGGGCGUAAAGCGCGUGUAGGCGGCCCUGCAAGUCGGGUGUGAAAUCCCACGGCUCAACCGUGGAAGUGCACUCGAAACUGCAGGGCUAGAGUCCUGGAGAGGAAGGUGGAAUGCUUGGUGUAGAGGUGAAAUUCGUAGAUAUCAAGCGGAACACCGGUGGCGAGGCGGCCUCUGGACAGUGACUGACGCUGAGACG